CAGGACGUGUCCUGGGUCCGGACAGCGGGCGGGUGUCCUGACUCGCAGGCGGCGCCGCUGGCCCAGCCGUAGGUGGCCAGGCUGGCCGCAGGCCCACAAGGCAACAGACAUCAUCAGACUGGCUGGGGACCUUUACCGGGAACUUCGAAAAGUUCAUAGGAAAUGGAAUUAACAGGAAAGCAGUGGAUCUGGGCUGAAUCCCAAGCCCAUGCUGACUCCUUGCCAGUCCAGCAGCCCAAGCAGUCUGAUGUGGCAACCCCGGGAAGUUCCAUAGCUGGGCAAGGUCAUCGAGAUGUGAAGUGCCAAGAUCAAGGAGAACUUCUCCAGUGGCUGGAAUGAAGAAAUACGUAUUCUGAAACCCAUACCUUCCUUAUCCAGGGAGGUAACGCAACAUGAAGAAGAGAAUACGGUCUUAUUCCAGGGAUGACUGCUUGACUGCUGGAGGCCUUAAAGGGGUCCUAACAUAGACCCCAUCACCCCUGAAGGGAGCCCUUCACCAGCCCGUCAGCUCCAGACAUUCAGAGGAAACUCCAGAGGCUGGCGGUGGGACCUCUGCAGGCUCACCCGAGAGGCCCGCACACUGUCGGCCUGGUGGGGCGGCGGCGUCCUUCAGCAAGAAGCACCCGAGACAAGCUUCGGUGAACAUGUCCGCUGCAUUAACGAGCAAGCACACCUUUUAAAGGGCAGGCAGAGGGGGUGUAGCUAAUCAGGGCAACACUAACUUUAUAGGGUAGAGCUGAUAUUGGCGCCGCUAUGCUACUUCAACCAGCUUGAAGGCCAGAGCAGAGAGCUGGAUCGGAAGUGGAGCAGCCAGGACUCGAACCAGCGCCCAUAUGGGAGGCUGGCACUGCAGGUGGUGGCUUUAUGUGCUUUACCACAGCGCCAGCCUCUGGACUUUAUAAUUAAACAUUAUUUCUCCAGGCUAAAAGGAGAAUCAACUACUAAUUUUCAGGCCCUUAGUUGAGAAAGAUAUUAUAGGCCAAAAGGGGUUAUAUUUUUACUCUGGAAAAUUUCCCAGUUAUAAAGCUGGUUUUGUGGCUCUGUUUUCCUGGAAGAGGAGACCUUGACCAGCUACAUAGGGUCACCCGUCGUUAAAGCUUGCCUCAAGUCUGGACCAAUAGAAACCAAGUCCUUGCUGUUGAUCCCUGACGUGGUGGCAUCCAAAGGCAGUGUAGAAAAGUGUUAAGAUUGAGCUUUAACAUCUGGUAGCACUUUUUCUUGUGUUCAGAAUUGCAUGCCUGUGAGUUUUGGAGCAGCAAAGAGGCAUCAUUGUCCCUGGCAUUGCAAGAAGUUUUCUGUGAGGAUGGGACCAGCACAAGAUGAACUCAAUCCAAAUGACAAGUCCAGUGACAGAAGACAGAUUUGCUGAAGUGUGAGAAACCAGAACCAUCAACAACAAUAAAAAAGUUAUAAUGGCCGGUGCUGCGGCUCACUAGCCUAAUCCUCCACCUGCGGUGCCGGUACCCCGGGUUCUAGUCCUGGUUGGGGCGCAAGUUCUGUCCCGGUUGCUCCUCUUCCAGUCCAGCUCUCUGGUGUGGCCCGGGAGUGCAGUGGAGGAUGGCCCAGGUGCUUGGGCCCUGCACCCACAUGGGAGACCAGGAGGAAGCACCUGGCUCCUGGUUUCAGAUCAGCACAGCGCACCGGCUGUAGCAGCCAUUUGGAGGGUGAACCAACGGAAGGAAGACCUUUCCCUCUGUCUCUCUCUCUCACUGUCUAACUCUGGCUGUCAAAUAAAAAAAAAUUAUAGUUUUUAUUUUGUCUUCUUCCCCCACUAGAAGAUUUACAGAGGGCACGAAACCAUUCAGAAAUAGAUUAACAAUCUAGAGAUCUUAAAAUCAGUUAUUUAUAUUUCCUACUCAAAAUCUUUCCCAUCUUAUUACUUUAAGAAAUCAACAGUAUAUCUUAAAAAUACUUUCCUAUCUGGUUGGUUUAUAAGGUCCCUCCCAGAUAGAAGAUAAAGAAGGCCCCCAAAAGGAAACAUCUCUCUGGAUUUUUCCAGCACUGUCCAGAGGGGUGGAAUCUGAUAUCUUAAUACUCAGUUUAAAUAAUUUUCUUUUUUUUUUUUAAAGAUUUUAUUUACUUAUUUGGAAGGUAGAGUUACAGACAGUGAGAGAGAGAGAGAGAGAGAGAGAGAGAGAGAGAGACAGAAAGGUCUCCCAUCAGUUGGUUCACUCCCCAAAUGGCUGCAAUGGCCAAAGCCAGGAGCCAGGUGCUUCUUCCUGGUCUCUGGGUGCAGGGGCCCAAGGACUUGGGUCAUCCUCUACUGCUUUCCCAGGCCACAACAGAGAGCUGGAUGGGAAGAGGGGCAGCCAGGACUAGAACUGGUGUCCAUAUGGGAUGCCGGCACCGCAGGCAGAGGAUUAACCUAUUGCACCAUGGCACCAGCCCCAGUUUAAAUAAUUUUCAAAAAUGUCUACUUCAUGAUCAGAUAAGCCCCAGAGAAGGCACUGGAUUGCAGUGCUGGUCUGAUGACCUGGCAGACACUCACACAGAGACGUCCAGUUCCUAGGUCACAGGGACAACAGUGUGAGGCCACACCCCGCCACUCCAGCUUCCCUUCCUUUGGAAAUGAAUGUUUACAACAAGGAGAGCUCUCACCGAUGCAGUCAUUGUGUGUUUAUGGAUUCUUCUGUAUCCUACUCAAGGAGCAGCCCCAGGAAUGUCUGCCAGGACUCACUGAGGAGCCACCGAGAGCAAGACUCGGAGUGUGGCCCUUGGAUGAACUCAUUUCCUGUUGCUAAAGUACCCAAAUGCUAGGCACUUUAUACAACACAGAGAUUUAUUUGGCUCAUGAUUCUGAUGACCGGAGGCUCCCGGAAACAUGGUGCCAGUGUCCUGGCAAGAGCCCCAGGCGUAUCCCAACGUGGCAGAUAUGCCCAGAUCGCUGGAUCCCCAAAUGCCGCCAGAGACUUGAACACACCGAAAUGCAAGAGCAGGGUUUAUUUCGGAAGUACAAGCUGCAGCAGGGACCCCAUCUACUCAACUGCGCAGCGGAGGGCAGAGGAAGGCCUCAAGCCGUGCUUGGGAGCCUCUUUUAAAGCUGGGUUAUGUCACUGCGGGGUGUGGGCUAACAGUGGGCUGGGGUCAUCUCUGGUACUUCCUGAUCCAACGAGGCUGUUCCUGGUUGGGUCAGUCCCAGGGGGUUUCCUUAUAUGGUGACCCUAGCAAGCUGUGCUGUUCCAUUGUAACUUUCAGUUUCCCCAGAGUGAGGCUGCUUUUCCAGUAAGUCAGCCUGCCUCUCCAAAUGGAGGCACUUUUUCGAAACAGCUACUCCGGCCCUUCAGCAGAGACCAGAAAGGGAGAUGUGCAGGAGGAUCUAAGUGCGUGGCGGGGCCUUGCUUUACAAAACCCACUCUUGUAAGAACCCAACAGGUCCUAAGAGACCUGCAUUAAUGCCUUCAGAGGCCACCCACUGUCCUCUCCUGGGUUCUACCACCUCUCAGCGCCACCACACUGCAGACCAGGCCUUCAGCACGUGAAUCAGUCUCUCCCUCCCUCUCUUCCUCACUUUCCCAUAGGAAAAGGGGUUUGAUGUUAUUGUCUAACACGAGAUUUCCCAACCUCAGUAUUGUUGACCUUUGGGGCCUAUUAUGGGCUGUGUAGCAUUUGUCUCCCCAAAACCCAUGAAAACCAUGAUUUUUUUUUUGACAGGCAGAAUGGACAGUGAGAGAGAGAGAGAGACAGAGAGAAAGGUCUUCCUUUGCCGUUGGUUCACCCUCCAAUGGCCGCCGUAGCUGGCAUGCUGUGGCCAGCGCACCACGCUGAUCCGAUGGCAGGAGCCAGGUGCUUUUCCUGGUCUCCCAUGGGGUGCAGGGCCCAAGCACUUAGGCCAUCCUCCACUGCACUCCCUGGCCACAGCAGAGAGCUGGCCUGGAACAGGGGCAACAGGGACAGAAUCCGGCACCCCGACCGGGACUAGAACCCGGUGUGCCGGCGUCGCAAGGCAGAGGAUUAGCCUAGUGAGCUGCGGCGCCGGCCAAACCAUGAGGUCUUAAUGGUUGGCUGGUAGGACUUGACAAUGUAAUGGAUGACAGGUAGAGACUUGAUCUAAUGACAGCAUCUGCCGGGGGGUGUUUAAGUCAUGGCGGCAGCGGGGGGUAGGGUUGGGGGGGUGCUCAGAGGAUGGUUCUCAUGAGAGGAUUCAUUGUUUCAGUUCAAGUUCAGCCAAGGUGCUCUCUCUCUCUCUCUCUCUCUCUCUGAUUCCUGCUCCCACACCUGCCAGUGACCAGCCUCCCUCCGACAGGCUAUGGGGUUGCCAGAUCCUGUAACCCCAACUAUAAGUCGAAACACAUCUUUUCUUUCCUAUGCAGCUCCUCUCAAUUAUUUUAGUUAAAGUGACAAAGAAUGGGCUGACGCAGGACCAGGUACUUCUUUGUUGAGGUGCCGUCCUGUGCAUUGGUUGAAAGACACCCUGCUUUCCACUGGGGUUGCUGAAAGAUGCAGAGGGCCCCUGGCACAGACACCAACUACGAGGCCCACGCCACAAGCGGGCACUUUGGUUGAGGCAUUGACUUGGGUUCAGCUCCGUGGGGCAGCUUCCAGGUGAGGGGCAGCAGGAUUCGGCCACAUGCACCUGGAACGCAGAAGGAAAAGCUGUCCCUCAAGAGGCUUCAUUACUAAAUCAAGUGAUUGCUGCUUGUAAUUUCAUGUAAUAAUACUGUUGUAAGUCUAGCAGCCACCAUUUAUUUCAUGAAGCCUAUUUAAACACACACUCUGCUGGUCUGUGUGUGUGUGAGAGAGAGAGAGAGGGAGAUAGAAGGAGAAAGAGACAGACUGUCCUGUCUGAACAAAGGAACACACCCCAUCAAUCUUCACCUUACAGGAACUUCCCUUGAGCCCUCACAGUCGCCUCUCACCUGCAUUCUGUUGCAGUGUUUAAGUGGUAACAUGACACGCUCUAGCACCCCCAUCAUGACACACACCCGCACACACUCCACACCUGUGUGCCUGCAAGGCCUUCCAGCUCACUCUGAUGGCCAGGCAGACACUGGAACAUUUUCACAGAGCAACUCUGCCGCUCUCUCCCCAGUCCUGUUUGGGCGACCCACACCCCCAGCCAUCAGGCUUCCUUGCCUUUCCUCUCAGUGCCCACCCAGCCCUGGGACCUCUCACUGCCCACACCCUCAUGGCCCUGAACUCCUGUGAUGUGGGCAGCCACAGGCAGUGGCUCCCUUUGUUUACACUUAAACAUAUGGAUGGAGACUUCCCGGCACAGACAAUUAGACUAAGGAGAUUCCGGGAAGAGACAGGAAGAACCUUAUCUCACUGCUAAACCUCUCAGGAGAGAUGAUACAGAUAAUCAGUCACACCUGAAACCUGCAUUUAUCACCUAAGUGUUUUAUUGUACCCUUGUAAUCAAUAAUUAAGAACCUUAUCGGGAACUCUGUGUAACCUUAAAAGCCUUUUUGAUAUGUAAAUCUUUUGUGCUCCUUCUUGUAAACAACUGGUCAUGUUUAAAUACUACUGGAUUUGUUGAAUAAACGAGCCUUGAUCCGGA